AUACUGGAUUACCAUCUCCCAAAAAUCCUCAAAGGUGUGUGGCAGUGGACCCUGCGUGGCUAUAAACUGAGUAAUGCUUUCAGAUGAAGAAGUCGUGAUGAAGCUUGCAUUUAUAUAUCCCUUGGCAGAUGGUCUAUAAUCCUUGCAUGGAUUAAGAAUAACCCUAUUUUGGUCAAAAGGUACCACAUCCAUAUAGCGGUUCUUGCUUAUGUUGACGCUAUCAAAAGCCACUUUGCAGCUUCUAGCCAUCUGAGAUGGUGUUAUCCUAGUACCCUGCAAAUGAGCGAACUCUUCAGUGAUUCGGUCGGGAGUGCGUAGCUUCUCUCUGAAGAAUUGGAGAGCCUC
rnacentral:misc_RNA from 1 species